rnacentral:rRNA from 1 species
CCUACGGGUGGCAGCAGUAGGGAAUCUUUCACAAUGGGCGAAAGCCUGAUGGAGCAACGCCGCGUGCAGGAUGAAGGCCUUCGGGUUGUAAACUGCUUUUAUAAGCGAGAAAUAUGAUGGUAACUUAUGAAUAAGGAUCGGCUAACUACGUGCCAGCAGCCGCGGUCAUACGUCGGAUCCGAGCAUUAUCCGGAGUGACUGGGUGUAAAGAGUUGCGUAGGUGGCAUAAUAAGUAGCUAGUGAAAUCUGGUGGCUCAACCAUUCAGACUAUUAGCUAAACUGUUAAUCUCGAGACCGUUAGGGGUAACUGGAAUUUCUAGUGUAGGAGUGAAAUCCGUAGAUAUUAGAAGGAACACCAUAGCGUAGGCAGGUUGCUGGGACGGUUCUGACACUAAGGCACGAAAGCGUAGGGAGCAAACGGGAUUAGAUACCCCAGUAGUC